GCGGACGUGGCGGAAUUGGUAGACGCGCUAGAUUUAGGUUCUAGUGUCCUUGGCGUGAGAGUUCGAGUCUCUCCGUCCGCAUCA
rnacentral:tRNA from 1 species